GAUGAACGCUGGCGGCGUGCCUAAUACAUGCAAGUCGAGCGAACGGACGAGAAGCUUGCUUCUCUGAUGUUAGCGGCGGACGGGUGAGUAACACGUGGAUAACCUACCUAUAAGACUGGGAUAACUUCGGGAAACCGGAGCUAAUACCGGAUAAUAUUUUGAACCGCAUGGUUCAAAAGUGAAAGACGGUCUUGCUGUCACUUAUAGAUUGAUCCGCGCUGCAUUAGCUAGUUGGUAAGGUAACGGCUUACCAAGGCAACGAUGCAUAGCCGACCUGAGAGGGUGAUCGGCCACACGGGAACUGAGACACGGCCCAGACUCCGACGGUAGGCAGCAGUAGGGAAUCUUACGCAAUGGGCGAAAGCCUGACGGAGCAACGCCGCGUGAGGGAUGAAGGUCUUCUGAUCGGAAAACUCUGUUAUUAGGGAAGAACAAAUGUGUAAGUAACUGUGCACAUCUUGACGGUACCGAAUCAGAAAGCCACGGCUAACUACGUG
rnacentral:rRNA from 1 species